rnacentral:lncRNA from 1 species
AAAAUAAUGAACUAGGAAAAAUCAUGACAACUAUUCUUAAUAAGGAAUAUGAUCACUUCAGACUGCAAUGCAGAUCUCACAAUGCUUCUCAUACAAACCACAAGGUUGUCAAAAGAUUUUUGAGGAUAUUAAUGACCAUUUGUGCAAAAGAAAAGUUUUAAGCUCAACUAGGCUUCUGAGAAGAGAAAUGAGAGCAGCAUUCCAUCUUCCAAGAGCAUUUUAUGCAUGUACAGUCAGCCUUAAAAUCAGAAAUAGGCUGGCCAAUUCAUUCAAUCAGUUCUUUGUUUUGUUUUUCAGGAUAUUGAUCCACAAGAUGAUAUCUAUAUGAGCAGAUUUUAUCAUCCAUCAAUAUGAAUCCUAGACCCACUAUUUCUUAA